AGUAAAUGUAUUAGGACAUCCGAAGGGGGUAGGGGGGUUAACUUCCAAUUUCCUCCGUGUGGGUGGUAUGGAUAUUUUCUGGAAUGGCCCAUUUAUAAUAUUGAUAAAAUGGGGGUUCCCUGAGAAUUGGAACGAAGUAAGGCUGCCAGAUUAAGUGGAAACAAUAUGGCAAAUUUCAAUAUGGCGGAGUGUAACAAUCUAACAAUAUGGCGGACUGAUAAAUCUGUAAAAAUGAUACAUGUUUAGAACAUGCAAAGAGCAAAAAAUUGUGGCAUGAACAUAUCACGAAACAUGCUUCUUACAACUACAUGCUAUGUUCAUAGGAAUUUGAAUAAGUUUUUAGUGGGGCCAAAAAAAUAUGUGGGUUUCCGGUUUCUUCUUAUAAAAACUUAGGUAGGGUAGGUCAGUUUUAAGUUUUUUUUAAACUUUUUUUAAAAUUUUCCUAACAACCGGACGCCAUUUUGUUUAGUCAGUGCUUCCACAUCCAAAGAUAAAUUUCCCAAAUAUUCCCUCGAAUUUCAAUUUUACACAAACUUUUUCCUCUAAGUGGAAACACAAGCAUGAUCCAAUAAAAAAGUUUAGGGUCGGGAUUUUGACGUCCAAAAGCUAGGUAGGGUUGGGAAACCGGAAACCCACAUUUUUUUGCCUAGCCAUGAUUUUUGUUUUAUUUUCAUUUAUGAUUUUCUAUCAAUGCCCCAACUAGUUUAUAUGUAAUGUAUAACAUAUUUUGUAAUAUAGAAAAUAAUAGAGUUCAUAUAAUGUUUAUGUAUCUAGGAAUUUGAAUAAGUUUUUAGGGUUGAAUAAGUUUUUAGUAGGCAUGAUUUAGAAUUUUUGUUUUUAUUUAUGAUUUUGUAUAAAUAAUAUAUGGUUGUAAAAUUUAUAAUUGACACAUGGACUAACAGUGUCCCACAACAGUAUGCAUUAUAAGUCGUUGAUCAGGAAAAUAUAAUAUUUCACAAAGUGAAAAUUCUUU